rnacentral:rRNA from 1 species
AUGGCCGGCGAUGGGACCGACGCCGCCUUCGAGGACGAGGUGGAGCCGACGGUCACCAUCAGCGAGUACAUGGACGGCAUCGAGGCCGAGGAGCUGGAGGCGGAUUUGGUGCUGGGCGGGGACGACGGCAACGAGUGCACCUACGGCGCCGGCUACCUGAAGCGCCAGGCCGUCUUCUCCUGCCUCACCUGCGUGCCCGACGGCGUCGCCGGGGUCUGCACCGCCUGCUGCCUCGCCUGCCACGACGGCCACGAGGUUGUUGAACUUUGGACGAAGCGAAAUUUUCGUUGUGACUGUGGCAACUCAAAGUUUGGAGGUCACCUCUGCAAACUUAGCCCUGAGAAAGACCCUGAAAAUCCAGCAAAUUCUUAUAAUCAGAACUUCAAGGGUUCCUACUGCACAUGCAGUAGGCCCUAUCCUGAUCCAGAAGCCAAGGAGCAAGUUGAAAUGAUACAGUGCUGUAUCUGCGAGGACUGGUUUCAUGAAGAUCAUAUUGGGCUUGACUCUUUGGAGAAGAUACCAAGAGAUGAGGAAGGGGAGCCACUGUAUGAAGAAUUCAUAUGCCAUCAAUGCUCGCCUGUUUGUUAUUUCUUGAAACUCUAUCCUGAUACGAUCUGGGCUUCUAGUAAGCAGAGUUCUGCGUCAGAAGCUGUUACUGCCGGUUCAAAUGGUGUGGAAGGAGGUUCUUCAGGUCAUGCUGACACUGAGAAAAAUGAAAACGGUGCCCCUGUAGACCAUCAAAGCAUUGAAAAUACCUCUGUUGAGGGGAACUGUACAAAAGGCAUUGCAGCUUCAGAUAAGUCCAUUUUGGUUGACAAUUCAGGUGUCAACUGUAAGAUAGGAGUGGAUAUAAAUACAACAUCAGCUGAUUCAGAGAAAACUAUGCCCUUUUUCAUGUCAAAAGGCUGGAGAGAGACCCUGUGUAAAUGUGGAACAUGCACCAACUUCUAUGCACAACGAGGCAUUGCACAUCUUACUGAUAAGGAGGACUCUAUUGAGGAAUAUGAGAAGAUAGCUAAGCAGAAAAGGGAGAAGAAGUUGGAGCAGCAGGAAGGAGCUGAAGCUAACUUCAUCAAUUCACUUAACCAUGUCCAGAAGAUAGAGAUUCUGAGUGGCAUCAAUGACAUGAAAAAUGAGUUUCAAUCCUUUAUGGAAUCCUUUGAUCCAUCAAAACCAGUUACAUCUGAUGAUGUAAAAUCUAUUUUCGAGAAUCUUGCUAGGAAGAAGCAGAGGUUAUCCUGA